rnacentral:tRNA from 1 species
UGGGUGAGGUCGGUAGUUCGAAUCUACCCAGGCCCACCAUCUAGGCCGCAGUUGCCCAUAAGUGGGGCUGUAGCUCAGCUGGGAGAGCACCUGCUUUGCAAGCAGGGGGUCACCGGUUCGAUCCCGGUCAGCUCCACCAAACUCAUACCGGAUUCUCAUUAUGACUGCUUCAAGGUUGCCGUCCCCUACGGGUGGCGCCAAUCUGGAAGCAGGCUGGAUAUGUCGGUCGUAAGAUCGGCAGAUUCCGGCUGGUUUCAACCGCCUAAGGGCGGGCCUUCCGCGGCAUAGCGAGAAGGUUUGGAUGUUUGACAACAAAAUUGAUUGGGUAACGCAUUUGGAAAGCUGAUGUGUCCGCCGUGAGGCGUGCGUGUUGGGGCAAGAUUCCGAAGGCGUUUACAUACAAGGCCGAGCACAAGCUGGAGCAGGCGCAAGUUGCUUGCGAAGGCCAAGUGCUCAAAUUAUGAAGAGUGUCUUUAGGAGAUAGGUUGACUGUGCAUGUGAAUGCAUCAGUACCUACUCAAGAGGCGGAGAAUAGGUUAACUCGAUCAGGACCGAAGAGAUUCGGCUCCCUGCGCAGAGUUAAUUCUAUGGUCAAGCUACUAAGGGCGCAC